UAGACAUUACACAAUUAGAGAAAAAUUUACAGCCUACAUUAGAUAUACUACAAACAAGAGAAACUGAAAAUCAGUGAAAUAAUUUUACAACUAAAAACAGUGGAAAAGAAACAACAAAUUAAAUCUGAAGAAAGGGAGGCAUUAGUGAAGAUAAAACUAGAAAGUAAUGGUCAAAAUAAAAUAUUGGAUGAAUGAGCACAACUUUCCCCUUGAACAGGCGUGGCUUAGUUACUUUUCUCAUUGCUGAGACAAAAUACCCGAUGCCCACAAGUUAAGGGAGGACAGGUUCAUUUAGCUCACAGUGUGUGGAGGUUUCCGUCCAUAGUCGGUUGGCUCCAAGGCAGGGGGCCUGGCAGAGGAGGAGCAGCUCAGGGAAGCAAGGGCCCUCAGCAGCUGCUUUCUGCCACCUUUAUAGUCUUUCUUGGGUACUGGGAUCAGGGCAGGUGCACAACCAAUCAGGACUGAUUUAGUAAUCACACACCCUUAAUCCUAGCAUUGCACCAUGAAUCAGUCACACACCUUAGAUCCAGCCACCUCUGAAAAAGCUCCAUCUCUGACCACUUGAGGCUUGUGGGGACAGCUAGACACAGCCAUAACAAGGCUGGUAAAUAGAUAAAAAGUUGGCAAGCCUGAUCGAGAACAAAAGUGGAAACUUAGAAGACAAGGGAUGUAGUUCCAGGAACAGAGAAUAUUUUAAAACUAUAAAAGAAUGAUAUUGUGUGGCAAUAUUAUUCAAACAUCUAUGUGAAAUGGGUGCUUUCUAGAGAAAUAUUAGAGUUGCCUCUAAAAAAGAUACCAGGCCCCGAUGGUUUUAUGGGAGGAUUCCCUAAGCCUCAAAGGCACAGAUAAUUCCCAUGUGAAGGGAAUCAUGUUCCCAGCAUGCUCUAUGAGUGGUGUAUGCUGAUAUUAAAACAACGCAAGGAUAGGAUAAGCAAGGAAAAUGGUAAUUUCACUCUGUAAUUCAAUACAUUAGGAAAUAGAUUUAUGAAUUUAAUAUAUGACAUAAUGUUUAAUAUUUAACUCAUGUUUAUGCAUAAACGUAAGAGCAAGAAUCAAGCUAUGACAAAGCCGGGGAACUACAGUCACCAUCUCACAUCAGGAGCUGGGAUCACAGAGACCUGCAGAGCUGCCUGCGGGGAGGAGGGCAGCCACAGGUGUCACACAGAGAGGCCCCUGGAGCCCCUGCAGCUUGACUCUGCCCACGCGCCAACAGGGAGAUGCUUCUUCUUAUCACCCUCAUUGCUCUGACUGUGGCUGGAGUCCCAGCCCCACCUCUGCCCUCUCACCUCUCUGGGAGCAGGCGAGAGAUCAUCUGCCCAAGAGAGGACGCCUUUCCAGGGAGGAGCGCACCGAGGGGGCCCUGCCAGCCCCUGGGGUCCUCACCUUGCCUUCUUCAAGCAGGGACAGGACGGCCUUGAAGGAGGGAGGUCAGAAGCAGCCUUCUUUUUCCUCUGGGGGAAGUGUGGAGGGGCCGGGUGGUGUAGACAGAAGAGCAUCGGACUGGAGCUGCUGGCAGCCAGGCUGCAGGGGGCAGCAGCCAAGGGGGACACUGCAUGAGCUAGCCCAGGCCAGGGAGAGAGCAGGAGGAGCAGGAAGAGGAGGAGACAGAUGCUUGAUGGGGAAGAGAGGCCAGUUUCUGCCUCCUGUCUCAGGUCAGCUGCAUCUCAUCUGCAGUGGGAGGGUGGGUGUCCCUGCUCUGAGGGCUUGGGACAAGGUGGUGGUGCCUGGCAGGAGGUCCCUGGGGGUGUGUCCUAAAGGGACAGGGGGAUCCUGGGUGCUCAUUUUCCUCUCUCUUUGCUUCCUGGCUGUUGUGAGGUGAGCUGUCCCUUCCACCGUGAACUCCCACCACCACGUUCUGCCUUGCCAAGAGCCCAACGGCAAGAGCCAGUGACCAUGGACUGAGCCCUCUGAACCCAUGAUCCAAGC
rnacentral:lncRNA from 1 species